GAUGAACGCUAGCGGCAGGCCUAACACAUGCAAGUCGAGCGGGAUUCGGUAGCUUGCUACCGAUGAGAGCGGCGCACGGGUGCGUAACGCGUAUACAAUCUGCCUCUUACUUCGGGAUAGCCCAGAGAAAUUUGGAUUAACACCGCAUAGCAUAACAGUUCGGCAUCGAGCAGUUAUUAAAGGUUACGGUAAGAGAUGAGUAUGCGUCCUAUUAGCUAGUUGGUAAGGUAACGGCUUACCAAGGCAACGAUAGGUAGGGGCCCUGAGAGGGGGAUCCCCCACACUGGUACUGAGACACGGACCAGACUCCUACGGGAGGCAGCAGUGAGGAAUAUUGGACAAUGGGCGCAAGCCUGAUCCAGCCAUGCCGCGUGCAGGAAGACGGCCCUAUGGGUUGUAAACUGCUUUUGUACAGGAAGAAACACCUCUACGUGUAGAGGCUUGACGGUAC
rnacentral:rRNA from 1 species